rnacentral:misc_RNA from 1 species
ACGCGAGCUGGUUAGAUGCGUGGGACAGAGGGCUCAUAGUACCUGCUAACGCGGCUAUGCAGUGGAAGGGAAGGAGCCUAAAUCGACCCCCUUCUUUCUUUUUUUUUUUCAAAGAAAAAAAGCAGUACAAAGAGAUUAGACUCUCGGAUGAGACUAAGCAGCCACCGACCGUUCCGACGCGUCCCUGACCUAUCUUGAUUAAGACCGAAAACCUAUCUAAAAUGGAGCCUAGUUUAAGCUGUCAAACAAAUGAUAGAAUGGAAAAUGAAAUGUUGAAUAACCCACUAGUAGGGAAGAGAUAUGGAUGGAGUCUCGCUCAAUAAAGAGAGUUGUAGAUUCGUAGAAAAGGAGAAGAGCCUUGACUUUCGAUUUUUUUAGUAAAGCGCUAACGCUGCAAUCUUUCUAAAGUAAGAAGCGCGAAACUUGACUUUGAGAAAGAAGGUGCUUGUUGCCGCUUUAUUAGUAAGUAAGCUUGUUUUAUAUCAUAUCAAUAAAGGUUGCUUUUAUAAAAAAAAAAAAAUGGAAUAUGAAUAUAAGGCGCGUUAGCGCUUUAGUUUUCAAUAAGGACAUUUAGGCUUUACUAAAGGGCUUUUUUUUCAGGUUUGGAACCCUAUACAAAACAAAACAAAACAAAGGGCGUUUCCUUUCAAAUGACAACUGCCUCUUCCUGCUGCGAGGGCGUUGCACGAAACCAAACCGCCCCCCACCCGAUCAAGUACCAGUUGCUUCGCUGGUAGGCCCACUUAGGUUAGGGGGCAUUGUCCCUCAGUUCUUACCAACCUCCGGUGUGUAAUCGACAUGUUACUAGCUUCAACUCGGUUGAAUAAGAAUCAUUGAUUCCCUCUGCUGUCCAUUUCUUAUUCAUUCAGGGUGCUCGGCCGGUGCUCCUUUAUCAAACCAGAACAACUCUGAACGUUAGGGAAGCCCACGGAGCGGGAAGACCACCUGAGCGAACCGACCGAAGGGACUUGACUUAUCCGAACCGAACGAUAGCGGCUUAAAGCUAAGCCUAUCACGAGCAGCGUCGCUGCGCGGGGAGGAGCAUUUAAAAGUAUGGGGCAAAGGAUCAAGCGCUUUGACUUUGUCCCCCGGGAUCCACCACAGGUUGGGUUUGAGUGAGAGCCGUGUGAUGGGUGACUAUCCAGCACGGUUCGGAGAGCACUUUUAGUCUGCGCUGGUGAAUGGAAGCCCCCCCUAUCAAGCAAGAAAGAAGCGGCUCUUUCCACGGCGGAAUCACCAUUGACUCUAUUUAUUAUUAUGGUAAAUUAGUGUAUCAAGAUGUCAAUCUGAGAUCUUAUUUCGGUUCGAUACGUCCACCUACGAGACUCACCUUUGGCUUUCGUCUCGGUAGGUGUAUUAUUCUACAUUUUCCCAAAAGAACAUUCAUUAAUUUCUUUCUUCCCCGUCGACCACGACGACUGAAACGACGCGAAAAAACCAGACCCGGAAAGGAGAAGGGCCGGUGGUGGACAUUCGGUAAAGUCGGGCCGAUCAGGUGUCUUCAUUCAAGCGACAAUACAGAAGAAGAACGAAAGGAAGUGAGAGGCCGGGGGGCAGGGAAAAGAGUCGAGUCGAUCAGGCUCGACGACCGGGAGAAGGAAAACGAAAUCAGGAUUUGGCCGAAAAAGAAGCAAUGCUAUGGAUACCAUGACCGAUCACCAUCGAUAAAGAAGAAUCUUUCUAAAUCACUUCGGGUCAGCGGGGCCUUCAAGCAUCCGAAAUACGCCGGGGUUGUAAAUGACAUAGCGUUCCUGAUAGAAAAUGACGACUCCUUCAGAAAAACGAAGUUAUUCAAGUUCUUUUUCCCAAAGAAGUCCCGCUCCGACGGCCCGACGAGUCAUCUACUUAAAAGGACCCUCCCUGCAGUGUGCCUCUCCUUGAAUUAUUUGGUCAUGCAAUAUUUAUUGAAUACAAAGAACCAAAUUCAUUUCGACCCCGUCGUAGUUCUCAAUCAUUUCGUGGCACCGGGCGUGGCUGAACCAUCUACGAUGGGGGGAGCGAAUGCACAGGGAAGAAGCUUAGAUAAGAGAAUACGUUCUCGCAUCGCUUUUUUUGUAGAAAGCUCGACCAGCGAAAAAAAGUGUUUGUCCGAAGCCAAAAAGAGGUUGACUCACUUCAUUCGCGAAGCGAAUGAUCUUCGCUUCGCGGAAACAACAAAAACCACCAUCUCGCUUUUUCCUUUCUUCGGUGCUACCUUUUUCUUUCUAAGGGAUGGGGUUGGGGUGUAUAAUAACCUUUUUUUUGAGGAUGCCCGGGAACAACUCCUAGGUCAAUUAAGGAUCAAAUGUUGGAACCUCAUGGGUAAGGAUAAGGUAAUGGAAUUGAUAGAGAAAUUCAUAAACCUAGGUGGGAUAGGAGAAUUGAUAAAGGGAAUAGAGAUGAUGAUAGAGAUCAUACUGAGAAACAGAAGAAUUCCGUACGGAUACAACUCUUAUUUGAACGAAAUGAAAAAAAUGCGAUCUUUGUUGUCUAAUAGAACAAACACUAAUACCUUAAUUGAGUCGGUCAAGAUUCAAUCUGUUUUUCAAAGUGCUUCUUCGAUUGCUCAAGACAUCUCUUUUCAACUGAGGAACAAAACAAGAUCAUUUCGUUCCAUUUUUAGUAAAAUAGUGAAGGAUAUUCCAUUAGUAAUGAAAAAAGGGGUGGAGGGGAUCCGUAUAUGUUGUUCAGGUCGAUUAGAAGGCGCAGAAAUAGCUAGAACUGAAUGCGGAAAGUAUGGAAAAACAUCUUGUAAUGUAUUUAACCAGAAAAUAGAUUAUGCUUCUGCGGAAGUAUCUACUCGUUACGGAAUCUUAGGUGUCAAAGUGUGGAUUUCAUAUAGUAAAAAAAAGGGGGGACAUGCUAUAUCCGAAACGUACGAAAUAUAGUAAAUAUCGUAAAGGCAGAUGUAGUAGGGGUUGCAAACUGGACGGUACACAACUUGGUUUUGGAAGAUAUGGCAUUAAAAGUUGUAAAGCUGGUCGUCUUUCAUAUCGAGCCAUUGAAGCAGCGCGUCGGGCUAUAAUAGGACAAUUCCAUCGUGCUAUGAGCGGACAAUUCCGAAGAAAUGGUAAGAUAUGGGUAAGAGUUUUCGCAGAUCUCCCUAUUACCGGGAAACCUACAGAAGUAAGAAUGGGAAGAGGAAAAGGAAAUCCUACGGGUUGGAUUGCUCGUGUGUCUACGGGACAAAUCCUAUUUGAAAUGGAUGGUGUGAGUUUGUCAAAUGCUCGACAAGCCGCUACAUUAGCGGCGCAUAAACUAUGUUUGUCAACCAAGUUUGUUCAAUGGUCGUAACGUAAUUGGUUAGUGGGGAAAAAACGGGCCGGGAUUCAAAAGAAUUAGGCGAAGUGUUUGUUCCUGAACGACGGAAGUGGAAAGACACUAAGGGAGAGGGAUAUACUCCUUUAUUUUUUUAAUCGCCGAAAUUGUACGAUGAACCUUUUUGUUCCAGGCGUACGACCCCGAAACGUUACUGUUUUUUAAGCCGGGCCCGGUUUAG